GAUGAAGAACGUAGCAAAAUGCGAUAAGUAAUGUGAAUUGCAGAAUUCAGUGAAUCAUCGAAUCUUUGAACGCACCUUGCGCCUUUUGGUAUUCCGAAAGGCACACCUGUUUGAGCGUCAUGAAUACCUCAAUCUCCAUCUUUUCUUCGGAUUGAUGGGUGACUUGGAUGUUGAGCCCUGCUGGUAUGCUAUAUCAGCUGGCUUUAAACUUAUUAGCCGGCUCUGUACUGGAUCGGUUUGACUCGACGUGAUAAUAUUAUCGUUGAGGAUGCAUGUCUCAUGCAGCCGGAAAGUAUCAAAGCAGCUUCUAGCUUGCCUUUAGUGCACUUUUACAUUUUAGACCUCAGAUCAGGUGGGACUACCCGCUGAACUUAAGCAUAUCAAUAGGGAGGA
rnacentral:misc_RNA from 1 species